AAAAUAAAAACAUAUGAAACCUAUAUAAACUAUGGACCAUUUUAAAUUGACUACCCAACAUUUCAAAAUUUUAAUUUUACUACUCAACCUUUUAAUUUUGUAAAAUGUGCAUGCCGUUUCUUGCAACUACAAAUUCAUUAAGGGAAUUAACUUAAAUUUUGACACAAAUCAAACAAAUUAAAAAGUUAAAUAGUGAAAUAAAAAAAAAACCGGAAGGUUCUAUAAGUUUCCGAUAAGUUUUGCAAGUUUUUUUAGCAGUAAAAUAAAAAAUAUAUAUAUAUAGAACUAAACUGCUUGGCACCAAUUUAGAUUUUCGACCCUUAGACAAAGGAAUGUGCCGUUAGGAUGAUAGUGAUUCCUUGGGGUUGAGCGGGUGGUCGUUGGUUGAAUAGUAUAAUCUAACGGAUAGAAAUGAUCAGCGGGUAGAUUUAGGGGUGUAAACGAGCCGAACAUGAGCGAGCUAGGGCCGGCUCGUGUUUGGCUCGUUUAAUAAACGAGCCGAACAUGAGCUAGCUCGUUAAAGUAUCGAGCCGAAAAAUUCGGCUCGUGUUCGGCUCGCUUAUUAACGAGCCGAACACGAGCUGGCUAACGAACAAUAAAUUAAAAAAAUUAGAUUGAAUAUAUAUAAAAAAUAAAUUUAUAAAAUCUCAUCCAUUAGAUUUUGAUCUAAUAGUUGAAACUUUACAUAUAAAUGAGUAUUUUUAUAAUUGAGUUCACCUUUAUAUUUUAUUUUGUUAAAAAUUAAAUAAUAAAAAUAUAUAUUAUAUAUAUAGUUAUUUAUUUAUAUAUAUAAAUAUAAAUUAUAUAAAUUAUAUAAAUAUAAAAUAUAUGUAUUCGAGCUGUUAUCGAGUCGAACACGAGCGAGUUGACCCUAGCUCGUGUUCGGCUCGUUUAUUAAACGAGUCGAAAAAUCAGCUCGUGUUCAGCUCGUUUACUAAACAAGCGAUUUGAUCUUGAGCUCAUCUCGAGCCGAACACGAGCUGGCUCGCGAACAGCGAGCUAAAUUGCCACCCCUAGGUAGAUCUAACGGUAAAAAAUCAAAUAGCAUCAAAUACUUAAUCGCUAUUGAUAGUAUUGUAGCCAUUGAUAGUAUAGUAGGCGGACUGUAUAUAUAUACUUAGCACUAAACAAUGCUUUGUAGUUUCCUCCCCCUUAAAAUAAAAAUAAGAAAGAAGAAUCUAUCCAAUAUCAUUAAAGGGUGAACCCCUAACCCCUUUGCUGCGUUCUCCGUGAUUUCGGGUCUCUCCCUUAACCCCUUUUCUGCGUUCUCCGCGAUUUCGGACCUCCCGCACACAGUGCUCUCUCUGAGAUGUGGGGCCCUACUCUCUCUUACCCUCUCUCAUUUUCUCUCUCUGAGAUGUGGGGCCCUAUUAUUCUUCGCACGCUAUGGUAUCCUACGAUGCCACUCUCCCUUACCCUCUCUCCUUCUCAAUGAACCCUAACCCUCUCUCCCUUUCUUUUCUCGCCGCCUCUGCAGAUUUCCCGGGAUUCCUCUGCCCCUCUCAACAAAUCCUA
rnacentral:lncRNA from 1 species